GAUGAACGCUGGCGGCGUGCCUAAUACAUGCAAGUCGAGCGAACGGACGAGAAGCUUGCUUUUCUGAUGUUAGCGGCGGACGGGUGAGUAACACGUGGAUAACCUACCUAUAAUACUGGGAUAACUUCGGGAAACCGGAGCUAAUACCGGAUAAUAUUUUGAACCGCAUGGUUCAAAAGUGAAAGACGGUCUUGCUGUCACUUAUAGAUGGAUCCGCGCUGCAUUAGCUAGUUGGUAAGGUAACGGCUUACCAAGGCAACGAUGCAUAGCCGACCUGAGAGGGUGAUCGGCCACACUGGAACUGAGACACGGUCCAGACUCCUACGGGAGGCAGCAGUAGGGAAUCUUCCGCAAUGGGCGAAAGCCUGACGGAGCAACGCCGCGUGAGUGAUGAAGGUCUUCGGAUCGUAAAACUCUGUUAUUAGGGAAGAACAUAUGUGUAAGUAAAUGUGCACAUCUUGACGGUACCUAAUCAGAAAGCCACGGCUAACUACGUG
rnacentral:rRNA from 1 species